UACGGAGGGUGCGAGCGUUGUCCGGAAUCAUUGGGCGUAAAGAGCGCGUAGGCGGCUAGAUAAGUCCGGUGUGAAAGUCACAGGCUCAACCUGUGAAUGCCGCUGGAAACUGUCUGGCUAGAGUCCGGAAGGGGCGAGUGGAAUUCCUGGUGUAGCGGUGAAAUGCGCAGAUAUCAGGAGGAACACCAAUGGCGAAGGCAGCUCGCUGGGACGGUACUGACGCUGAGGCGCGAAAGCGUGGGGAGCAAACAGG
rnacentral:rRNA from 1 species